rnacentral:lncRNA from 1 species
CAAACUGUUUCCCGUUUCUCAAGGUGAUCGCCAUAACUUGUUCUUUUGGAUUUGUCUCUGUGUUACUUGGCAGAGUACUUUGAGUUCUUCCAUUAAUCAUGCUUGCUAAUUGAUCCAUAUGGAUCUCCAAGUUUUUGAUCGAUACUUGUAGGUUUUACAACAUUAGUUGUUGAUUCUAAAUGGUUGCUUUAGUCUUUAUUGCAAAUUCUAUUGUGUUCUUA